UACGAAGGGGGCUAGCGUUGCUCGGAAUCACUGGGCGUAAAGGGUGCGUAGGCGGGUCUUUAAGUCAGGGGUGAAAUCCUGGAGCUCAACUCCAGAACUGCCUUUUGAUACUGAGGAUCUUGAGUUCGGGGAGAGGUGAGUGGAACUGCGAGUGUAGAGGUGAAAUUCGUAGAUAUUCGCAAGACACCAGUGGCGAAGGCGGCUCACUGGCCCGAUACUGACGCUGAGGCACGAAAGCGUGGGGAGC
rnacentral:rRNA from 1 species